rnacentral:rRNA from 1 species
UUGGAGGGCAAGUCUGGUGCCAGCAGCCGCGGUAAUUCCAGCUCCAAUAGCGUAUAUUAAAGUUGUUGCAGUUAAAAAGCUCGUAGUUGAAUUUCGGGAUCAAUACGCCUGUCGUGCCUUCGGUACGUACGGGUGUAAUUGGUCUCUACCUUCUGAGGAUCCUUGAUGUCAUUAAUUUGGUGUCUUGGAGAAUCAGGACUGUUACCUUGAAAAAAUUAGAGUGUUUAAAGCAGGCAUACGCUUGAAUACAUUAGCAUGGAAUAAUGAAAUAGGACGUUCGAUUCUAUUUUGUUGGUUUCUAGGAUCGACGUAAUGAUUAAUAGGGAUAGUUGGGGGCAUUAGUAUUCAAUUGUCAGAGGUGAAAUUCUUGGAUUUAUUGAAGACUAACUACUGCGAAAGCAUUUGCCAAGGAUGUUUUCAUUAAUCAAGAACGAAAGUUAGGGGAUCGAAGACGAUCAGAUACCGUCGUAGUCUUAACCAUAAACUAUGCCGACUAGGGAUCGGACGGUGUUAUAUUUUGACUCGUUCGGCGCCUUACGGGAAAC